CACGUAGGCACCAAGCGUUGUCCGGAUUUAUUGGGCGUAAAGAGCUCGUAGGCGGUUCAGUAAGUCGGGUGUGAAAACUUUGGGCUUAACCCAAAGCGUGCAUCCGAUACUGCUGUGACUUGAGUUCGGUAGGGGAGUGGGGAAUUCCUAGUGUAGCGGUAAAAUGCGCAGAUAUUAGGAGGAACACCGGUGGCGAAGGCGCCACUCUGGGCCGAAACUGACGCUGAGGAGCGAAAGCAUGGGUAGCAAACAGG
rnacentral:rRNA from 1 species